AUACAAGAAGUCACUGAGAUAUGUUUGUACAAUGGAUGGGAAUUUGGCUUUCUGUCUUCAUGGAAGAACUUGGCCUCCUUUUUCCUCUUCCCUCUUUCAUCCACGGAAACAGUAUUUAGAAGAGCACAGAUUCAGCGUUGUGGUUGUGCCGUCACCAUUUCCAUGUAUGAAGAGAUGGCCCGCAUCAGUUCUGUGACGUGCCCAAAAUCACACGAAGCGAGUUAAUCACAGACCCAGAUUUUCUCAUUCGCAAUAUGCUGCAUACUUGUCCAUACUAAAUUGUCUUUAAACAGUGACAAACAUUUAAAAGCAGAUUUGGGAGCCACUUGUUUUGCUGUGGAGCCUGAAAGGCUGAUUCAUAAGGAAUUUCAAAUAAUGGCAGUGACCACGGCCUCAUUAGCCAGCUUGGUCCCCCUCAGUAUGAUGAAGAAACUGGACUGAGAGAAGAACCCCAGGUUGAAGAGAACUCUCUGUGUUCUGCCCACCUGUGCUGCUGAAAAUACAGACACCAGUGAGGCCCUGAAGAGAGUAAGUGAACCAGGAAGAGAGAAAAAUCACACACGUGAAUCCUCACAGCCUGAAGGGCAUUUGGCACAGAAGGUGUCUCAAAAAGUCAGCUGAGGGAACAUCCAGAUGUCACGCAAAAGGAUGUUUUCUCCUGAAUGAAGACUUACAAUAUAGAU
rnacentral:sRNA from 1 species